ACAACACACUUUGCAGCAGCUUUUCAAAUCGAGGAAGUCUGUUUGUUUAUUUACAGCAAGUUGAACUUUUUUCAUGGUAUCUGAGAUAUCCCUGUAUCGAUUGUACAUGGACAUUGCAGAAUAUACCAAUAGUCUUUUGAAGAUAUGCAUUUCUAGAUGACCACUAUAGACAGAUAAUGAGAAGGAGUCAGCAGACUAACUUACCAGGUGAAUGUAUAUCAGGGACCAAGAAGAUGGCCUUUCAAUCCCGUGCCUCCAGAUGGAGCCCUCGUAAGAAUGAUAGAAAGCCUGUAUUUCCAAAAGAAGGUAAAAUUGUUUAACCUAUCAUUAUCAUACUUGUAAUAAAAAACUUGAUAUGCAUGUACAAUGUAUACAUGUAUCGAUUUUCCUCUUUUAUGUUCCAAUGAUUUGCCUUUAUUUAGCAUCUCAUAUUGAAUUAAUAAUUUAGAAUUGCCUGGCAAUGCAGAUUUCGAAUGUAAAGUAUCAAUCUGUAAAACGAGGAGUGUCUUUAGCCUCCCAGAUUACUGCAAUUUCUUCUCUGAACAUGACUGUAUUGUCUUUGACACAAGAGGGCAGUAUGUAAAAUUAAAUAUAUUUGAUUGUUGGCUGUGCAGUGAUUAUUGGACCAAGAGCUUUAUAACUGCACCAGGGUGCUACAUAACUUUUUAGAAGCACUUGCCCAGUUGGGCAAGUAAAUUUUAAAUAGUUGGAAUAUACAUGUAAUUGCUCAAAAAUCUAUUUCACUUGCCCAAAAAAAUCAUUGAAAAAAAAAGUUUUACCUCUUCAAAAGAAAGUUUUGCAGUUUUAUAAACUUACCUACUUUGAUAUUGCAUUUCUUUUUCCAAAGUGAUUUUAUCUUGCCUGCCAUGACCAAAAUUAGGGUCAAUAUAUCAUAUCGACCCUAAUUUUAGUCACUCUACUGUGAACAUUUUGUUUGCUCAAUUCGGGCAAGUAGUUUUGGUCUUUACUUCAAAACACUUGCCCAACUCUAACUUUUACUUGCUCUGGCAAUCGGGCAAGUGCUUAUGUAGCACCCUGCUGCACUCAUGAUGAAAAUAAAAUGAAAACAUAAACAAGUCUUGUGAUUUUUUAAAAAUAAAUUUUCUUAUGUAAAUUAUAUAAAUGAAUACUUCACAGCCUUGACUUUUUACUUUAUAUUGUUUAUUGAGUAAAAUAUCAAAGCAAGGAUGAAUGUGUACAUUUAUCAAGUAUAAUGUAAGGCAUUUAUUUUCAUCAUCUUUAAAAGAGGCAUAGAGGAGAAUAAUGAAGGUUGAAAUAUAAAAAGCUAAAUGCUACAUGUUCUGAACAAGUACUUAUCAUUUCUAAUAUUGAUGUAUACAAUUUUGCAAAUGUGUUUAUCAUGUUUCAAUAUAAUCUGAAGGGUGAGGGCGGAUGGAUGAGAUGGGGACAGAGGAAAAUAGACAAACUAAAAGAGCAAUGGUAUCCUAUGGUUGAGCAGGAAUUAAAAAGAGAUGUUUAAUUUCUAACUAAAGGCUGAGACCUCUCCAAAAAGUUCAGAAAAUCAAACAAUGUAUUGUCAAAAUUUCAUCAGAAUAGAACGAUUUAUACUGUGAACUAGGAAAGUUAUGAUGUGAAAAAUACAUGUACAGGAUACCCAGUUGUUGGGUGUCCAGACGAUCAAUAGUAAACAGCCAUUUGGAAAAAUUGACAAGGAAAGUCUCAUCAAUUUCUAGUACAAAAUGUUUUAGAGAACAAUAUACAUGUAGAAGAUGAUUACAACUAUUGAAUUCAUAUUCGUAGUAUAAUCUAAUCUAUAGACAAAAAAUGAAAGCUUCAAAAUUUUAAAAUGUCCGGACUUUAAACUUUCAUUUUAGUGUCCUAUUUCAUCAUCGGGAAUAUAUCUUGAUUGUUUCAUGUUAUUACGCAUUUUAUGAUUUUAUGAUUGAAAAUAAUUGAAUUAGGCUGAACUGAGCUAGUUUAUAUCCUACACACCAUAAAACAACAUGUAAUUUGGAGAUAUGAACCAAACUAAAGAUGGGCUUUUAAAAGCAUUCUGUAUCAGAGCACCAAAUAAAUUUGACACAAGUGAUUAAUUAUUUCAAGCUAAAAGUACUGGGACUGUGAGGUUAUCAGGCUUCACUACUGUCAAAGUGCAACAAGUGGACAUUUCACACAAUUAAAAACUCUGAUGCAAGAUCCCCCUGUUCUUGACAAGCACAUCCAAACAAAGACCCCUCCCCACAAACCUUCUAUAAGAACCAGGUUAUGCAAUGUCUCCAUUGUUUGAUCAAGGAACUGACGAACAGUUAUAAUCAUAAUAUAGUGCUGUGUUGUUGAGUGUUCUUGAGUUUGGUUAUUAAAUGUUUGCUCUACUUCUAAACUUUUUAAGCUAGUGCAUGGAUGGGGCUUUACUCAAAAUGUUCACAUUUACACCCACCCU